rnacentral:rRNA from 1 species
GAUGAACGCUGGCGGCGUGCCUAAUACAUGCGAGUCGAGCGAACGGACGAGAAGCUUGCUUCUCUGAUGUUAGCGGCGGACGGGUGAGUAACACGUGGAUAACCUACCUAUAAGACUGGGAUAACUUCGGGAAACCGGAGCUAAUACCGGAUAAUAUUUUGAACCGCAUGGUUCAAAAGUGAAAGACGGUCUUGCUGUCACUUAUAGAUGGAUCCGCGCUGCAUUAGCUAGUUGGUAAGGUAACGGCUUACCAAGGCAACGAUGCAUAGCCGACCUGAGAGGGUGAUCGGCCACACUGGAACUGAGACACGGUCAGACUCCUACGGGAGGCAGCAGUAGGAAAUCUUCCGCAAUGGGCGAAAGCCUGACGGAGCAACGCCGCGUGAGUGAUGAAGGUCUUCGGAUCGUAAAACUCUGUUAUUAGGGAAGAACAUAUGUGUAAGUAACUGUGCACAUCUUGACGGUACCUAAUCAGAAAGCCACGGCUAACUACGUG